rnacentral:lncRNA from 1 species
GAAGAAAAGUAAAGUAGAGUUGCAGAGAAAUAAGGACAUGGAUGCAAUAGUUAUCGUUUUAUUUGAAGGAUAUGCACAUGCGACUUGUACCCGAUAACCUCAAAUCACUUCAAGAUCUGUAAAAGGAAAGAAGAUCCGAAGAAGUGGGGUGACGAUUCUAAAGUUUGAUACAUUUUUACAUUAUACAGAUUUUUAUAAUUCAUUAUUCAUAAAUUUGUAAGUUACGAUUUUUUGUUUUAGUUAUAUAUAUAUAACAUGAUAGU